GACAGCAGCAGCCACGGUAAUACGUAGGGUGCGAGCGUUAAUCGGAAUUACUGGGCGUAAAGCGUGCGUAGGCGGUGAGUUAAGUCUGCUGUGAAAUCCCCGGGCUCAACCUGGGAAUGGCAGUGGAUACUGGCUCGCUAGAGUGUGUCAGAGGAUGGUGGAAUUCCCGGUGUAGCGGUGAAAUGCGUAGAGAUCGGGAGGAACAUCAGUGGCGAAGGCGGCCAUCUGGGACAACACUGACGCUGAGGCACGAAAGCGUGGGGAGCAAACAGGAUUAGAUACCCGCGUAGUCCCUGUCUCUUAUAC
rnacentral:rRNA from 1 species